rnacentral:rRNA from 1 species
AACAGGAUUAGAUACCCUGGUAGUCCACGCCCUAAACGAUGUCUACUAGUUGUCGGGUUUUAAUUAACUUGGUAACGCAGCUAACGCGUGAAGUAGACCGCCUGGGGAGUACGGUCGCAAGAUUAAAACUCAAAGGAAUUGACGGGGACCCGCACAAGCGGUGGAUGAUGUGGAUUAAUUCGAUGCAACGCGAAAAACCUUACCUACCCUUGACAUGGAAGGAAUCCUGGAGAGAUCUGGGAGUGCCCGAAAGGGAACCUUCACACAGGUGCUGCAUGGCUGUCGUCAGCUCGUGUCGUGAGAUGUUGGGUUAAGUCCCGCAACGAGCGCAACCCUUGUCAUUAGUUGCUACGCGAGAGCACUCUAAUGAGACUGCCGGUGACAAACCGGAGGAAGGUGGGGAUGACGUCAAGUCCUCAUGGCCCUUAUGGGUAGGGCUUCACACGUCAUACAAUGGUACAUACAGAGGGCCGCCAACCCGCGAGGGGGAGCUAAUCCCAGAAAGUGUAUCGUAGUCCGGAUUGUAGUCUGCAACUCGACUACAUGAAGUUGGAAUCGCUAGUAAUCGCGGAUCAGCAUGUCGCGGUGAAUACGUUCCCGGGUCUUGUACACACCGCCCGUCACACCAUGGGAGCGGGUUUUACCAGAAGUAGGUAGCUUAACCGCAAGGAGGGCGCUUACCACGGUAGGAUUCGUGACUGGGGUGAAGUCGUAACAAGGUAACC